rnacentral:rRNA from 1 species
GAUGAACGCUGGCGGCGUGCCUAAUACAUGCAAGUCGAGCGAACGGACGAGAAGCUUGCUUCACUGAUGUUAGCGGCGGAAGGGUGAGUAACACGUGGAUAACCUACCUAUAAGACUGGGAUAAAUUCGGGAAACCGGAGCUAAUACCGGAUAAUAUUUUGAACCGCAUGGUUCAAAAGUGAAAGACGGUCUUGCUGUCACUUAUAGAUGGAUCCGCGCUGCAUUAGCUAGUUGGUAAGGUAACGGCCUACCAAGGCAACGAUGCAUAGCCGACCUGAGAGGGUGAUCGGCCACACUGGAACUGAGACACGGUCCAGACUCCUACGGGAGGCAGCAGUAGGGAAUCUUCCGCAAUGGGCGAAAGCCUGACGGAGCAACGCCGCGUGAGUGAUGAAGGUCUUCGGAUCGUAAAACGCUGUUAUUAGGGAAGAACAUAUGUGUAAGUAACUGUGCACAUCUUGACGGUACCUAAUCAGAAAGCCACGGCUAACUACGUG